CCUACGGGAGGCAGCAGUGGGAUCUUCCACAAUGGACGAAAGUCUGAUGGAGCAACGCCGCGUGAGUGAAGAAGGAUUUCGGUUCGUAAAACUCUGUUGCAGGGGAAGAACAAGUAGCGUAGUAACUGGCGCUACCUUGACGGUACCUUGUUAGAAAGCCACGGCUAACUACGUGCCAGCAGCCGCGGUAAUACGUAGGUGGCAAGCGUUGUCCGGAAUUAUUGGGCGUAAAGCGCGCGCAGGUGGUUCCUUAAGUCUGAUGUGAAAGCCCCCGGCUCAACCGGGGAGGGUCAUUGGAAACUGGGGAACUUGAGUGCAGAAGAGGAUAGUGGAAUUCCAAGUGUAGCGGUGAAAUGCGUAGAGAUUUGGAGGAACACCAGUGGCGAAGGCGACUGUCUGGUCUGUAACUGACACUGAGGCGCGAAAGCAUGGGGAGCGAACAGGAUUAGAUACCCUGGUAGUCCAUGCCGUAAACGUUGGGCACUAGGUGUGGGGGACAUUCCACGUUUUCCGCGCCGUAGCUAACGCAUUAAGUGCCCCGCCUGGGGAGUACGGCCGCAAGGCUAAAACUCAAAUGAAUUGACGGGG
rnacentral:rRNA from 1 species